rnacentral:lncRNA from 14 species
GAGGCCUCCUCAUCCUCAUCCUCAUCCCUAUUCCCAUCCCUGUUCCCAUCCUCAUCCCUGUCCCUAUAUCCCUGUCUCCUGAAUCCCUGUAUCCCCAUCCCCAUAUCCCUGUAUCCCUGUCUCCUGUAUCCCUAUCCCUGUAUCCCGAUCCCCAUCCCUGUCCCUGUCUGUCUCCUGUAUCCCCAUAUCCCCAUAUCCCUGUAUCCCUAUCCCUGUAUCCCCAUCCCUAUAUCCCUAUAUCCCUGUCUCCUGUCUCCUGUAUCCCUAUCCCUAUAUCCCUAUCCCUGUUCCCAGGAGCACAGCUUCAUCCGCCGCUAUGAGGCUCAGGACGUGGAUGUUGCCUCCUGGUUCAAGGAUGUCAUGGCAAGAACUGAGUCCCCUCGAGGAGGCUCCAGCCUGGCCCCAGCCCCACCCCCACCCCCCGUUCUUCACCAGGUAGCACCCAGGCAGCCCCGGCCCUGGCCCAGUACAGACCAGUGUGUCCCAGUACAGCCCAGUGCAGACCAGUGCAGACCAGUGCGUCCAGUGCAGCCCAGUGCAGCCCAGUGCAUCCCAGUGCGUCCCAGCACAUCCCAGUGCAUCCCAGUGCAUCCCAGUGUGUCCCAGCACAUCCCAGUGUAUCCCAGUGCAUCCCAGUGUGUCCCCUCCAGGGCCCAUCCCUGUGAUGCUGCUGGCACAAGGGGUCACCUGCAUCCCCCCCAUGUCCCUCAGCAUCCCGGUGGGAACAGGGAUGGGGACAGGAGGUGGCAGCAGGAUAUGGACAUGGAUGUGAUGGGAGCAGGGACACGGAUACGAUGGGACAUGGAUGUGAUGGGAACAUGGAAUGGACAUGGAUGCGAUGGGAAGAUGCUUUGGAAUGUGCCAGAUGGACAUGGACAUGGAUGUGACACAGGGACAUGGACAUGGAUACGAUGGGAACAUGGACAUGGAUGUGAUGGGGACAUGGACAUGGAUGUGACACAGGGACAUGGAUGUGAUGGGAACACGGACAUGGAUGCAAUGGGAAGAUGCUUUGGGAUGUGCCACAGGGACAUGGACAUGGAUGUGAGCCAAGGAUGUGGCAGGAGGAGGUUUGGGAAUGGGGCCUGGAGCUGGUCCAGGACAAGGAACAUUGGGAUGGGACACGGAGCUCUGGACAACAGGGGGGCAAUGGGAUGGCACCGGGAUAACAUGGGAAUGGCACUGGGAUAACAUGGGAAUGGCACCGGGAUGUGACAUUGGGAUAACAUGGGAAUGGCACCGGGAUGUGACAUUGGGAUAACAUGGGAAUGGCACCGGGAUAACAUGGGAAUGGCACCAGGAUGUGUCAUUGGGAUAACAUGGGAAUGGCACCAGGAUGUGACAUUGGGAUGUGACAUUGGGAUGUGACACUGGGAUGUGACAUUGGGAUGU